AUAAAGAUUUCAUUGUCAACGUUUCUGGGAAAAAAGCUAAUGUUGGUGCUGAUGUUCGAACCGAGUUUAGAUCAUUGCAGGUAUUCUUUUCCAGUUGAUUUUGCCAGAAUUAAUAGUUGUAUUUUUCUCGUUUUGGUUUCAUUUUGGUUGUUUUGCGGUUUUGAAACGAGCGCGUAUUUUCAUCUUCAUGGUUCGCUCUGUACAGCUGAAGGCUUAGUGCAUGUGGUAUUUUUGUAAAUAUUUGUAUAUAGACUGUAUAAAUGUUUAAUGGGCCGGCCCAAAGUAUUUUUGUAAUUUUUUUUCCUUUUUUGUAUUUUUUUGUUUUUUUCCUUUUUUUUUUAU